rnacentral:lncRNA from 1 species
CCGUGCGCUGCAGCAGGAGGACCUCGUCGUCUCUCCAUUCUCAAUGCCGUAGUUGGCAUCGACUCCCCCAAACUCCCAGUCCAUCGCCCUCACAACCACAAGUCUAUUCUCUGUGUCCGUGGGUUUUGUGGACAGGUUCCUUUGUGCCAUGGUUUAGAUUCCACCUCUAAGUGAGAUCAGGUGGUAUCCGUCUAUCUCUUUCUCACGUCCUUCGCUUUGUAUGAGAAUCUCUCGAUCCAUCCCUAUUGUUUUGAAGGGCAUUGGUUUCUUCUUUGAUUUUCUGGCUGAGUCGUGAAUUCCAUCGUAUAUGUGGACCACAUCGUCGGAUCCAUUCGUCUGUCUGGGGACAUGAGGUGGCUUCCCUGUCUUGGCUGUUGUGAGUAGUGCCGCCAUAAACACACAGGGGCAUAUAGUCUUUUGCCUGGAUACGUUUGUCCUGAUAUUUUCCAGGGCGCUCGCUCGACUUGCUGGGUGCCAUGCUGUGCUAUGUUCAGUUUUCGGAGGCCCCUCCGUGGUGUCUUCCGUAGUGGUUGUACCAGUGUACAUUUGCACCGGCAGUGCUGGGGGGACGCCUUUUCUCCACCCGUGUCUGCGACCGACACCAGAGCUCGCGGCAGCGCUGGAUCCUUAACCCCCUCAGCGAGGCCAGGGAUCAACCCCGCAAGCUCGUGGUUCCUAGUCGGAUUGUUUCCGCUGUGCCCCGACGGGACCUCCUGGGUCGUUUCGUUGUUGCUGCGGUGAGGUGUAUGAGUUUUCUUUAUGUAUGUUUUGGAGAGGAACCUCACGGGCAGUGGUACCUUUCUCCUCAGUGUUUCUGUAGAGCUGCUUGCUGUCCACAGUGUGGCAGCCACUGGCCAGAGGGAGCCAUUUAUGUUUGAUUGAAUUCAAUCCGUAGUUAGGUCUGCCUCUUGCAGUGAACACAACAAAGCAGCCAGUGGUUCACUCACACACGCCACCGCGCAAGUGUGUCCGUGCAGCUGGAAUUUCAACCUGGAGCUGAGACCUCCAGAUGGACUCCUAGAAGGGUGACGUGUAAAGCUGCAUCCCUCAGCAGCCCACGAUCUUGGCAGGUUUGCCACUGUGACCAAUGUUUUAUUGAAGCUUCUGAGGCCGUAGAGCACAGGGAAGUUCCGAGCACACAGAGGACAAGCCAGGGCGGUGCUGUGUGGCCCAAAACAACCUUAAGUAGGAGACAUGAGUGGGGGACGGUUUCUGACACCUUGAUUCCUCAUGUCUGUGUUUCUGCAGUGUGGAGCAUUGUGAGUCUGUGUGGCAGCAACCACGAAGAAAGUGAUACAGACUUGGUGGCGGAGAGCACCGACUGCCGCCAGGAUGAGGAGGCUGCAGCAACCCCCGACGAUGUUGUGGAGGCCGGUGGGAGUGAGAAGACCAAGGAGGAGGCCCUGGCUGGGGAAACUGAGGAGGAGAUGGGGCUGGGGACUGUGAAGGCGGAGGAGGAGGAGGAAAAGGAGGAAGCUGCAGCCAUAGACAAGGCGGAGGAGGAGGCGGCCCAGCCCAUGAAAAUGACAAGGAGGAGUCGCCAGCCAGCGACCGGGCUGAGCACGAAGACAAGCCUGCCCCAAGGUAAGCUCACCUUUCUUGAUGUGAGAUUUGAAAAGUUGCCUUUUUUCUUUUUUGAUAUCCCUAUCUCAGAAAUGGAAAUCUGAGAAAGUCCGUUAUAGAGGGUAUAUGCAGAUUCCUCUGCGGAGGAAUGUUGAGUCAAAGUUUGGUACCAACCAAUAACUCCUUCCAAGGGGCACUGGCCAAAGUGACCGCAUCAGUUCCCAAGUGUACGGCAGGGAGCAUUUUUCUUUGAAGAAGCCUGAAUGUUGUUUUGUUUUGUUUUGUUUUGUUUGUCUUUUUGCCUUUUCUAGGGCCACUCCCGUGGCAUAUGGAGUUUCCCAGGCCAGGGGUCUCAUCGGUGCUGUAGACACCGGCCUACGCCAGAGACGCAGCAGCGUGGGAUCCGAGCCAUGUCGGCAGCCUACACCACAGCUCAUGGCAAUGCCGGAUCCUUAACCUACUGAGCAAGGCCAGGGAUGCAAACCGCAACCGCAUGGUUCCUGGUGGGAUUGGUUAACCACUGUGCCACGACGGGAACUCCAAAAAAGCCUCAAUGUUUUUUAAAUGAACACGGCCUUGGGAGAUCUUCCAUGAGAAGCUGGCGCCUUUGCAAAGGGGUCUUCGCUGUCUUCUCUUGGGGAAACUGACUCAACUCUGCCUUCUGUCUGCGUGCCUGCGGUCCCAACGGCAGGAAGACCUGUGGCCGCAGUGCAGAGGAUGCUGUGACGCUCACAGUGUUUUCUUUUCUCUCAUCACAGGUGGACGGGACGGACGAUGAAAGCUGUGAGUAUUCUGGAACCCUGCUCUGCUGAGGAGAAGUCCAGGUGUUGAGGAAGGGAGGGGGCUUUCCUGCUCCUUUGGUUGCAGAGACACCCUGAUUCUGGGUUCCUCCUGGGAAUGAGGGUGAAGGAUGAGGUGAAAGAGACAGACUUCCCACUGAAGGGCCACCCCAGGUUCUAGGGUCCCUGGACAAAAGGAGGCUCUUUGUAUGGUGUGGGUAGGUGUCCAGGACCAUUGGGCGGGGUGUGUGUGUGUGGGGGGGGCUGUUGGUGUGAUUGGGAAUCAGUGUGAGUGGGUGUGUUUUGUGGGGAGCCGUUUGUGGCU